UACGGGGGGGGCAAGCGUUGUUCGGAAUUACUGGGCGUAAAGGGUUCGUAGGUGGCCAACUAAGUCAGACGUGAAAUCCCUCAGCUUAACUGGGGAACUGCGUCUGAGACUGGAUGGCUUGAGUGCAGGAGAGGAACGCGGAAUUCCAGGUGUAGCGGUGAAAUGCGUAGAUAUCGAGAGGAACACCUGCGGCGAAGGCGGGUUGCUGGGCUGACACUGACGCUGAUGCGCGAAAGCUAGGGGAGCGAACGGG
rnacentral:rRNA from 1 species